UGUCCUGUUGAAAAGGGGGACGCAAAAGCUGAAAAUGCCCGGAAGGAUAUGGCUUCCUUGAACUGCGGGACGUGUAGCUGCAGCUGUGGGGUGGACCAUGGAAACAGAUCAGCAGGAAGAAGAGAUGGAAGCAACGCCAUGGACCUUCACGUCCUUCAGAGUGUGGGUGGGCUUUGGCUUUGCAGUGAGAGCAAGUAUCACCCAGGAUGGAGAUGGGAGGUAAUGGGUGGCCCCGACAGGUGCCUCCUACUGCUGGCAGCAAGGAGAGAGUGAAGAGGCAGAAUUUCCUUGGUCUAGACUAGUGUCUGGGUCAUGGGCAUGGCAGUGCUUGAGCUUUUGACCAGAAGCAAGUGGACAUGGAUUUGAGCUUCGGGUAAGAAGGGAGACUUCUCUCCAGGGACCAUAGGGGCUGGCAGCUGAAGAAGGUGACUUGGCCCCUCUCUAGAGGGUGAACGCAGGAUCAAUUCAAGGCCAUGAAGUGGAUGCAGCUGGGAGAGCCUGCUUGGUGCUUUUAAACCUCAACAUGUCCACCGCAAAUACCUCAAACACUGCUCACACCGUGGUAAAAUCUAGUUGCGAAAUCUGUCCUGCGGCA
rnacentral:lncRNA from 1 species